rnacentral:misc_RNA from 1 species
AAGUCGUAACAAGGUUUCCGUAGGUGAACCUGCGGAAGGAUCAUUAUUGAAAUCCAAAGAGAGAGGGGGGGCAAAAGAGUUUGAGGGGGAGAAUUCCUCCUCAUCUCUCCCCCUCGAUCGACCCUCACACACCCGUGCACCUAUUGUAGGCUUUCCUUGUAAAAGGGGGAAAUCUAUGUCUUUCUAUCUACACCGAACGUAUGUCUAAAGAACGUCUAUUUGCUCGUGUCGUUCGGCUCGUGCCUCAGGGCCCUGCUGUCGACCGCAAAGUAUAAAUCAUUACAACUUUCAGCAACGGAUCUCUUGGCUCUC